UACCCGGGGCUCUUUUCUGGUGGUGUUGUCCCCACGAUGUUCGUGUUCGUGCUGCUGUUGUUGACGCUACUGCUGGAUAUGGGUAGAUCGCAUGGAGGGUUCCGCUGCGUUAAGAUCCCAAGUGUCGAAGACUGUCUUCAACUGUUUAAAGCUGAAAGGAUUGCUUAAAAAUCAAACAAGUUUUGCGCCAUCAGAUAUGUUCCCUUCUCAUGACAUCACUUCGUACAAAUGCGGAGCUUGAAGGGGAAGCUGGGGAGCCUUAUUUUCGACGUCUGAUCUUGCGGUCAGUCGCCCAUAUAAUCAGACUAUAUAGUACAUCCCUCAUCACUGAAUGUGAGGUUUUCUUCAGUAUGCUAUUAAAGGUUACUUUUCUUGAUCUACCAUCUUUUCACGAUGGGGGACUCUACUUCCUGACUGAUGAUGCUUCCUCUAGGAAUGAUUAUAGGAGUAUUUGGUGCCUUAAGAAUAUGUCCAGAUAAUGAGAGAAUAUAUGUUGAACAAAUGUCCAGUAUCCCCAUACAAUCAAGUGUGUGAAGUGUUCAAGAGAGAGCUUGGCAUGACACCGGAUAAGAGUCUGCCUGAGGUUCAUGCAAAUGCGGCAGAAACAUUAGUGUUAUAGCUCGUAAUGCCCCAUCUGCUCUUGCUGCUAAACUUUCUAGCCUCAGUUUUGUUGCAAGGAUAUUUGAUCAUGCUUUGGAAGAUUCACAUUCAAAGUCUGGCCUUGUGCAUUCACUUUCUGUGUGCAUUUCUUUGUUGGAUCCAAAGAGAUCAUCAACGUAUUCUCUUUUGUUCCACUUUUUCCGAAUCAACAUAUGUAUGAAUGUCCAAUUCUUGUUGAUCCAGAGACUGUUGGUGCAAUGCUCCCUAAACUUAGUUAGUAUAUGAUGCUAGUUUCAUUUAUUUGAUGGUGCCUUAGUUCACACUUGUGCUCUCUAUAUUCUUUAAAUCAAUGGGCUAGAUGUAUAAAAGAAACUAUAGAAGGCAUACAACUAUCAAUAUCAGGUCAAUAAUCAUCAAAGUUUCAGAGAAAUAUUUAAUUGUUAUUGAUCUGAUAUUGAUAGGUGUGUGCGCUUUGUGGUUUCUCUUAUACAUCUAGCCCAUUGAUUUGACAUGCAUGUACACGGCAGGAAAGCAGCAUUGUGAGUAGCACUAUGAAUAUAGCAGCAUGGUCUCCAUAAUUGCAAAUAUUUGAUUUACUUGUGGGAAGUAAAAUUCUUCUAUUAGUUUCUGAUAGCACUUGUCUCAUAGGUGAUUUGUUAAAACUCUUAAACUUGUCAUCUGAUGAUAAAAGUAUUACCCAUAACAUAUGAAGAAUUACGGCCUCCUCUUGGAAAACAUCGUUUGAAGGAACUAUUGACAUAGAUCUGAUUACCACAGGAGUAUCGGCAAGUGAAAGGAUGCAAAGUGAGAGUUUAUUAUCGGCAACUCGCAACAUUAUUAUGGAGAAAAUAUAGCUUGGAGGACCCUCCAUGCGCCUGGCUAAAUUACUGGAUGAGCUAAAGAAGAAGAAUCCUGAUAAUGAAGUCCAUCCCAACAAUGUAUAUUACAUCUCUUAAUUUCUCAAAUCCUCCCAAAUUUGUAGACAAAUAAAAUUGUGUUGCCCUUACACAGAAGAUUCUGUUGCCCUUGUAAAAUCAUGAUCUUUGUAUUACUUGUAAUUUGUGUUUUUAAGGCCUGAAUUAUUGUACGCCUUUUAAAUUAUAAUUCUAUAACAGGAUUUGCAGAUUAAAUGUAAUAGAUUUACAAUCCAUACAUGAAUAAUAUGU